GUUGAAAAUGAAGAGACUCUUACAAUUUUUAACUUCUUGGUGGGUGCUGAUUCUGCAUUUCACUCGCAUUUCUUCACUGACCAAUGGAGAGGCUUAGAUUCUUAAACAUGUUGUUGGCAGUUCAUGGCUUAUUCUGUUAUGCUGGCCAGGUGCCUUUGGUUCUAGUUUAAGCAUCGCCAAUUAAGCCCUUCAACGAAUGUGUUCAACGCAAUACACAAGGAAUCUUUCUUAUGCACAAAAAAUCUGUUUCUUUUUUACCUGAAUGUGUCAUCAUUGGUUACUCACCAAUGUGGGUCCAAUGAGGCACAACUUUGGAGAGGUUCCACUUCCUCACAAACGUGUCAUCGUUGGAUUGCAUCAUAAUUUUGCAAUCCCUUCUGCUUUUCUACACCAUUUGGAAUGAUAUCCUAACCGUUGAUCUUCACUUACAAAUCAGGUAAAAUGUAGUGGUAACUUUUUUUUCCUGGUAAUUUUUAUUUUCUGAGAUAAGUUGGUUUCAUAUGUUCUUUUGAAUAUUGCAAUGUUCCUUUUUAUCACACAUAGCAUGUGGGAUGGUCAUAGUUGAGAGCAUGGUAAUGAACCAACUUGAUUGCGUCACUCCAAGUUCAGUCAAGACUUGUAUUAUUUGCAUCUGGAUAGUUGUUGUUAGUUUAGAUGAUAUCGCUGCGUAGAUUGGAAGAAAUCAGAUUUAUUGCACUCACUGGAUUGAAGUAGCGAUUAUGUUUUCUUGUGUUCUUUGGAUUAAUCAGAACUACAGAUGUUGCCUGAUGCUUGCUGAAAAACAAAAGGCAUCUCUGGUUAGGGCCCCUUCUUUGAAACUACAAUUAUUGCUAUAAUCAGUAUUUAACUUAUUUCUUUCCCUUCUUUUACAUUUAUCCCCU